ACGUAGGGUCCGAGCGUUGUCCGGAAUCAUUGGGCGUAAAGAGCGUGUAGGCGGCUUGGUAGGUCACGUGUUAAAGCCUGCGGUUCAACCGCAGAAUCGCACGUGAAACCACCUGGCUAGAGUCCGGAAGAGGAGAGCGGAAUUCCUGGUGUAGCGGUGAAAUGCGCAGAUAUCAGGAAGAACACCCGUGGCGAAGGCGGCUCUCUGGACCACAACUGACGCUGAGGCGCGAAAGCUAGGGGAGCAAACAGGA
rnacentral:rRNA from 1 species